rnacentral:rRNA from 1 species
GAUGAACGCUGGCGGCGUGCCUAAUACAUGCAAGUCGAGCGAACAGAUGAGGAGCUUGCUCCUCUGACGUUAGCGGCGGACGGGUGAGUAACACGUGGAUAACCUACCUAUAAGACUGGGAUAACUUCGGGAAACCGGAGCUAAUACCGGAUAAUGUAUUGAACCGCAUGGUUCAAUAGUGAAAGACGGUUUUGCUGUCACUUAUAGAUGGAUCCGCGCCGCAUUAGCUAGUUGGUAAGGUAACGGCUUACCAAGGCAACGAUGCGUAGCCGACCUGAGAGGGUGAUCGGCCACACUGGAACUGAGACACGGUCCAGACUCCUACGGGAGGCAGCAGUAGGGAAUCUUCCGCAAUGGGCGAAAGCCUGACGGAGCAACGCCGCGUGAGUGAUGAAGGUCUUCGGAUCGUAAAACUCUGUUAUUGGGGAAGAACAAAUGUGUAAGUAACUAUGCACGUCUUGACGGUACCUAAUCAGAAAGCCACGGCUAACUACGUG